CACGACCGGAGCCUAAGGCAGACGCUCAGCCAGAGUCACCCAGGUGCCCCUAUAUGAAUGCUUCCAGGGGAGAUACAAGACAAGUUUCUCUGAAAUGAACUCCACACAAGGGUCUUAUUCCAAGAGUACUCUCUGAACAUCUUCAUGCCUCAGGAUGGAUUUUACCAUCCCUUGAAAUAAACAGACACCUCCAGGGAAGCGAGUCUCUUACUAUCUUAAGUUUCAAGAUCAGGGACACCUGGGUGGCUCAGCGGUUUAGCAUCUGCCUUUGCCCCCGGAAUUCCGGAUCAAGUCCCGCAUUGGGCUCCUGUGUGGAGCCUGCCUCUCCCUCUGCCUGUGUCUCUGCCUCUCUCUGUGUGUCUCAUGAAUAAAUAAAAUCUUAAGAAAAAAAAAGUUUCAAGAUCAGACCUUCAACCCAGGCCCCAGAAAAAUUUGGAAAGCAGGGCUGGUGGUAGGGCGAGGGGUUGCCGCCAGUGGAAUGGAUCAGCAGUUAAAGGGAAGGCAGUUUCAGUGAAAGACAAGCCGGCUGGGUGACGGACAUCUGGAGGAGAACUGAAAUUGGUAAUGAAAUGGGAGAGGUGUUAUUAUAAAGGAAGAAGAAAUUCUAAAUAUUUGGUUUUAGAACUGGGUCUUGAUGGAGACACUGAGGAUUUGGAAGACUCUGGAAGAGAGUUGGAGAGACAUCUGACCGAGAAUAUAAAAUCGAAGAAUUAAGAGGGAGAAAGAAGCACAAAAUUCCCCUAGUUUCUGGAUGGCUGAAAUGUCUCCUUUGCAGAGGACACACAGUGUGACGGUUCCUGGGAACACACCAAUAUGGCCUCUGUAUUGCUCACACUAAGAUCCUGGCCGAGCAAAUAGAAGCCAAAACACACACCGAAGAAAGAAGACAAGGGACAUGAAGUGAAUGGAAUUAUUAAUGAAACUGUCUAUCCCAGUGCUACACAGAGAAAUUACAUGCAGUGUUUGUCCUUCCAGAUUAUGUAACCAGAGGACAGAAACCUGUGGUUCUAGGGUCUCUUCCUGAUUCCCAGACCUCUUCCCAGCGAAGAGUAGAGCAGAUUUGUCCGAAACCGUAACCAGAAGAUGAAUAAAAGUUGCCACAGAGUAAAUACCCUUUUGCCUUCCUUGAACAUUCCUGUUUAAUUUUCUCCAGGGCUGUAUUUUAGAAGGGAGAGUUGCAAGUUAGUUCCAUCCUCAGCACUGAUUCAUGGCAGUGAAAGUUCUACACUGCCCCCUUUAGGCCAAACUACCAAGAGCGGGAAACCAAAAUCAAAUGGGCUUGGAACAGUUUGCCAUAAGACAGCUUGUCCACAGGAAAAUCAUCGUAGUUAAAUAAAAUACAAUAAAAGCCACAAGUCUCUUCUGUUUGUGCACAUGAAUGUCUUAGAAACUGUAUGCCCUCCGGCAUCCUCUACAUAAUGCCCUCCCCUCCACACACAUACAUAGAGGCCCCAGGGAGCAUCUGAGCAUCCACUGGGUGGGGUUCCACUACAUACAGGACUCUGCUUCAGAUGCUUUGCAUGCAUCGUUUCAUUUUCUUUCCAAAAGAGCCUUGUAAAUUAGAUAAUCUCUUCCAUCCAAAUAAAGAAAUUGACACUUGGGUUAAGAAACUGGCUCAAACACACAGAGAUGUUAAACAGCACAAUCCAGAUUGAAAUCCCGAACUAUUGAA